UGAUGAUAAACGGGGAGUUCUGGGUGGUGAGUGGGUUUGGGGCUGAGACGAACGGGAGAUUUGUAGGGAGUGCGGAGGUGUACGAGACAAGGACUGGCCGGUGGCGGAAGGAGGAGGGGGUGUGGCCGGAGGGGAGAAGGCCGAGAGGGAGCGCCGGAGUUGGAGGGAAUGGGAGGCUGGUUUCCUGGGCGGAGGAGGUGGCGGAAGUGAGGGUGGGAACUUGUGGUGUGAGGAUGGGGGAGAAGGUGAUGGUGUCGGGGAUGGCGUCUACGUUUCCCGGAGCUCCGGUGGAAUUUUACAUGCUGACAAAUGGCGGGGAGGGUGGAGUGGAGCGUGUGGAUCCGCCGGCCGA
rnacentral:misc_RNA from 1 species